rnacentral:rRNA from 1 species
CCCUUAGAUGUUCUGGGCCGCACGCGUGCUACACUGACCGGCGCAACAAGUUUCUUUCCUUGGCUCGAUAGGCCUGGGUAAUCUUUGAACGCCGGUCGUGAUGGGGAUAGAUCCUUGCAAUUUUUGAUCUUCAACGAGGAAUUCCUAGUAAAUGCGAGUCAUCAUCUCGCGUUGAUUACGUCCCUGCCCUUUGUACACACCGCCCGUCGCACCUACCGAUUGAAUGGUCCGGUGAAGCCUCGGGAUUGCGAAUGCUUCGUGCGGACGCGAGAACUUGGCUAAACCAUAUCAUUUAGAGGAAGGUGAAGUCGUAACA